UACGGAGGGUGCAAGCGUUAAUCGGAAUUACUGGGCGUAAAGCGCGCGUAGGCGGUUUGUUAAGUUAGAUGUGAAAGCCCUGGGCUCAACCUAGGAACUGCAUCUGAUACUGGCAAGCUAGAGUGCAAUAGAGGGGGGUAGAAUUUCAGGUGUAGCGGUGAAAUGCGUAGAGAUCUGAAGGAAUACCAGUGGCGAAGGCGGCCCCCUGGAUUGACACUGACGCUGAGGUGCGAAAGCGUGGGUAGCAAACGGG
rnacentral:rRNA from 1 species